AGAGGCUGCGGAAGGAAGAAGAGAAGCAAGUGGAAGAAGAAAAAGUGGAAAUGUUUGCCGUUGAUAAGGGAGAAGAUUCAAGGUGAAAAUCGGUGGUUAGCCAAACAUUAUGUAUUCGAGAUAGCUACAAGUUUCUCCGAGAGAUUCGUGACGUCACUACGCCGGCCUAUGUAAAGGUGAAGCACGCGGAGCGUCAGUACAUCGUUGUCCGUCACGUCGAUCGGGUCUCAACUUUGAAUCGCCCUCUGCUCCUCCGAGAGUCGUAAACGAAUCUUUAAUUCGAGCCAAUCGACAACGAAAAUCAUCGUUAUCCCACUGACGACGACAUCUUUACGCUCAUCUACGAAGGUAACAGAAUGAUCAUCCCUUCGACGUUUUUGUUAAUGGUAUCCGUCACAUUCGCGAUCGCCGAAGAGUCCAUGUCAGAAAAUGUUCUCUCCGACAAACGUGCCGUUAUGGGAUUUCAAGGAAUGCGCGGGAAAAAGAAUUUUGACUCUUUGGAUUCGGAGGACUUUGGAAUUUUGAAACGUGCGAUCAUGGGCUUCCAGGGAAUGCGUGGAAAGAAAAACUCGAUAAUCGCUGACGUUGAAAAUCAACUUUUCCCCGAGGAGACUAAUAAGCGUGCGCCGAUGGGUUUUCAAGGCAUGAGAGGCAAGAAAGCUUCGUUAGAUGACGAAUACUACAAACGUGCACCGAUGGGAUUUCAAGGAAUGAGAGGCAAGAAAUCUCUCGAGGAGAUCUUAGAUGAAAUUAAAAAGACUACCACGAGAUUCCAAGAUCCAAGAAGCAAAGACAUGUACGUGAUCGAUUAUCCAGAAGAUUAUGAAAAGAGAAUAUUAUCGAUGGAAGGAUAUCCAAAUAUUUUCGAUAAGGAAGGCGAAUUCUUGUGGGAGAAGAGAGCUCCAAUGGGAUUCCACGGGAUGAGGGGCAAAAAAUUAAUUCUUGAUCCGUGGCAAGAUCUUGAUAAACAAGACGUUAUGGAGUUUCAGGGGCUGCAACGUAGGAAGGAUACGUUCGAUGAUUAUUUAGAUUAUUCGAUGAAUCCGUCAGAUUACGAGAAAAGGGCUGCGGAUUUUCAAGAUAUAGAAAGCGGUAGCGAUUCGUUUAAAAGAGCUCGCAUGGGUUUUCAUGGGAUGAGAGGUAAAAGAAACGUUGAGGAGAUUUACGGAUCUAAUUCGAGCCCUACGCAAACGACGAUCGGUUAUCAAGGCGUAAACAACCGGGGAAACAAUCUCGCUGUGUACGAAAUUGAAAAGCGAUCACCCUUCAGAUAUCUUGGAGUCAGAGGAAAGAAGAAUCCACGAUGGGAAUUCCGAGGAAAAUUCGUAGGGGUGAGGGGCAAAAAAGCGUCGUCUUUGCAAUCUGUCUAUUAAUGUAUUUCAGUAAAGAAACAUCGAAAGGAGUAUGAAUGAAGAUUCGUGAAUGUUAUUAGGUAAUUAGCAGUAAUAGCACUGGUUUUGUUGAUGACAACAAUGGCAACACAACAACAAUAAUCACUGUGUAAUGCUAGUCUUUUUGUUUAAACGUGUAUUAGACUGUAUCGCUUGAUAGGUAUACCUAAGGAUAGGGGAAGACAACGCGGUACUAUCAGCGGUAUUAUCAGCAGACUGUCCUCGUUAUUGUCAUUGCGUUCCAUGCGUACAUCGUGAAAGAAUACGUUGUCUUCUCCCCUCAAGAUUUUAGUUUCAACGACAUAUCCGUACACCGCCAAUGUACAUAUAUACGUAAACCUCGAGCGUAUUACAGAGCGCGUUCCUAUUUCUUAUAUUUUGAAAAGGACUUAAAAGACGUCACUCUCCCUCUUUCUCUUUAGUUGCUAAUUUAUUCUUACCGUUACCUUUUUAAUUUUGAUACAAAAAGAUAAUUUAUUUUUUACAUUCUCGAGACUGUUAUGUCGACUUAGGAAAAACUUAAAACGGACAUAAAUAAUAUAGAAGUAGAUAGAAGAUUCUAUUUUUCUUGGAAAAAGAAAUCAUCGAUAUAUAUGUAUACAGAUAUUUUACGCUUCAACCACCAAAUAAAAUUAAAUAUACUUUAAGUUCAUUCCUUUCUCGGAAUACAAUGUGAUUGUUAUGACUAUACAACACAAUAUUUUUAUACUAUCGAUGCCUCACCUCCUUUCAUGUUUUAUCACAUGAACGAUAUUUGUUAAACACAGCUUGUUUGCAAAUAAGUUUUAGAAUACGUAAUCGUUUAGUAUUCUACCCAAUGAUGAAGACCUAUCUAUGUUGUGAUUUGUAAGUGUGAAACAAGUCUCUGGCAAUUUAAAAAAGAGAAUAAAUAUCUAUAUAAGUUA